ensembl:lncRNA
GUAAGGCUUCCGGAGCCUGGCUGAGCCCGGACAGACGCAGCCUGACGCUUUAAUAGGUUGCAGAGAGUGCAAAGGAGGGGAGGCCGGGGAAAGAGGGGGAGUGGCCCAGCGAGGCCGGUAGCUGCAAGGAGGUGGCGAAGGACCCUCCUUCUCUGGGGUCCUAGCUCCGCGGAGCUGGGAGCCUGGCUCGCUUUAACCCUUUGCAUUCCAAUCCCCCCUCCCCGGAUACCGGAAAGUCUCUUCUCUUUUUCGUAUCAAAAAAAGCCCGGUGAAGACUCUGCAGAACCCAGGAAGCGCAGAAUCGGGAGAAAGUCUUUGGCUGGGGCUGGUUCAAGACCCUGCUUCAAUGGGCUGCUGGAAGCCAGGACUGGGGUUCCUCUGAGGGUGGACUUCUUUCGCGCUCGAUAGGCCUUGAAAACUGAGUUCCUGCUCCUUAUUACAUAUCUGGGACAAUAAUGAACAGGUCAAAACAGAAAAGUCGAGUAAACUGGGAGCGAUGCUUUUCAACACGUCGCGCAGGGUGUAGUGUUGGGGGAUGUGAUUUGAGGGCAAGAAUUUUAUUGCAAUACUAGGUAGUCAGCCAGCCCGGUCCCCGGGGGCCGACCUGCAAAGUACUACGCGUUUCCGCCCCCCGACCCCCCCACAGCGGUUACACCUCUGGGAAGCAUUACCUUGCCUGAUGACUUCACACUGCUCCGGGGAAACCCACUUACUAAUUCUCCCCUACAAACCUUCAGGGCUUCAGCCUUUGUUUGAACCCGGCCUUAGGUGGUUCAACUCUUGAGAAACUGGCUUAAGUUUCAGAGCACAAUUUCAUCCACUUAAUCAGACUCCUGCUUCUUGAUUUUUAGUUGUACGGUAGUUUUUAAAUGCUAAGCUGUAAUUUAAAAUAUAUUGUCUAACUGAUGUACUCUUACAUAUAAUGUGGAUUAAACUGAUUUAGGGGGAGGGUGGACAUCAUGGAGUGUCAAGUGUCUGGCUGUGGGACCCCACAGGGGCACUUAACCUCCACUCUAAACUUCCAUGAAUAUUAUAUGUAAUGCAGGCUUGCUGAUUAUUGCUUAGUAGUGCUUAACUGUUCCUGUGCUAAUGGUUCAAGCAAUGAAAACAUUUAGUAAAACUGUGUUUCUUUAUUAAUCAAAAACACAUUUGUUGUUUGUUCCCUUGAACUUGUAAUUCAUGGCCCAUAAAGCAAAAGUAAAAUAUUUCCUCACUGCGGAUGAAUAUAAAAGCUAAUUACAUAUCCGUGCAUUUCUGUCAGUUUCUCCCCCAUCCCCCAAGAGAAUGGGAAAGAGGCUAGAGGUGAAAGUUUACAUUUAAAUUCAGGGGUGAAGAUUCCUUAAAAGCAGAAUACUGUAUCAAUCAGAUUUUCUUAGGCAGGGCAUCCAGAAUAAGAGAUUGAGUAAAUUCAAAUCCCACCUUUGAUGUGGGAUUGUUUGUGUGUUCCUGGAAGUAUAUUUUACCUCUCUAGACCUUUAUUUCCUAGUUGAUAAAUGGAGAAAAUACCUGCUUUACAAAGUUGUUAUGAUGAUAGAACGUGUGAAACUAUGUUAGGAGAUUAGUAGAGUGCCUAAGCUCUACUCUUAGGUAGAGCUUCCUAAUGUAACUUAGCGUUUCCUAAUUUAACCAUUGUCGCU